UACGUAGGGGGCAAGCGUUGUUCGGAAUUACUGGGCGUAAAGGGCGCGUAGGCGGCACAGCAAGUCGGAAGUGAAAGCCCGGGGCUCAACCCCGGAAUGUCUUUCGAAACUGCUGAGCUAGAGUGCAGAAGAGGCAACUGGAAUUCCCAGUGUAGCGGUGAAAUUCGUAGAUAUUCGCAAGAACACCAGUGGCGAAGGCGGCUCACUGGCCCGUAACUGACGCUGAGGCACGAAAGCGUGGGGAGCAAACAGG
rnacentral:rRNA from 1 species